UUGUGCGGGGGAGGCCUUCACCGCAUUGCAUCGCAUUGAGUUCUUCUUUCGCGGAUGUGUACUUUUGAACUGCUGUUGCGCCUGCCACACAUACUGCCAAUUUUGCCACUAACAUCCGCUUGUGUUUCUGUUUGUUCGCAGAGGGUGCAGCCGCGCGGCCCGCCGUCCGGCUGUUCUGGGCGUGCCUGGCGGUGUCACUGGUCUCGAGGUUGUUCGGCUGAGCGGCCCGUUUGAGUCUCCCUGAAGCAGACCAGAGUGGGCGCCGCGUGGAGGCCGGCGGCCGCCUCCUGACAGGCGCGGACGGAGGACGCCGCCGGCACGCCGGCCCGGGCCCAGCCCCGGCCCCGGGGCGUCUCAAGUGGACGUGACGUCGUCGUUGUCACUCCUGGGAGGGCGCGCCUGACCUGAGGGCAGCCCUCCGAUGCGGUGUCUCAGUGACGGAGGACCUCGUCUUUGUGAUUAACUUAAGCCAGUCGUGUGUAAGCGGAGGGCGCGUCGUGGCUCUGAACAAUGGACUACAAGUGGCCCAUUUGCGUUUCGUUUGAAGAAUCUCAUAUUGAUGUCUUGCCCUAUACGGCAAGGCCGAGAUAGAGAGAGAGAGU